GGUUAAGCGACUAAGCGUACACGGUGGAUGCCCUGGCAGUCAGAGGCGAUGAAGGACGUGCUAAUCUGCGAUAAGCGUCGGUAAGGUGAUAUGAACCGUUAUAACCGGCGAUUUCCGAAUGGGGAAACCCAGUGUGUUUCGACACACUAUCAUUAACUGAAUCCAUAGGUUAAUGAGGCGAACCGGGGGAACUGAAACAUCUAAGUACCCCGAGGAAAAGAAAUCAACCGAGAUUCCCCCAGUAGCG
rnacentral:rRNA from 1 species